UGGGGAAUUUUGGACAAUGGGCGCAAGCCUGAUCCAGCCAUGCCGCGUGCGGGAAGAAGGCCUUCGGGUUGUAAACCGCUUUUGUCAGGGAAGAAAUCUUCUGAGUUAAUACCUCGGGAGGAUGACGGUACCUGAAGAAUAAGCACCGGCUAACUACGUGCCAGCAGCCGCGGUAAUACGUAGGGUGCAAGCGUUAAUCGGAAUUACUGGGCGUAAAGCGUGCGCAGGCGGUUUUGUAAGACAGAGGUGAAAUCCCCGGGCUCCAACCUGGGGAACUGCCAUUUGUCGACUGCAAGGUCUUGAGUGCGGCAGAGGGGGAUGGAAUUCCGCGUGUAGGCAGUGAAAUGCGUAGAUAUGCGGAGG
rnacentral:rRNA from 1 species